UUCAGGGCUUUUGGCUGGUUUUCUUUGCAGUUCUUUUGCAAAGCUCCUAAGAAUUUUAACACAGGAGAAAACUACUUGGAGUGCUCUCUCAUAUGCCAAUCCUGUCAUUUGUGCCAAUGUGCCCCAUUGUGACUCAGGGGAUGAGAACCCUGUUGGAGUCAUUUCUUCGGACUGUUGUAAGUGUAAAUAAAUCAUCCAUUUUCAGCCUGACCUUUAGGACGUCUCUCGGCUUCUUGACCACUCCGGCAUUUCUCCCACUGUUCCAGGCUUUGUCCUGCAGAAGUGAACUAAAGUCCAGCAUUCUG
rnacentral:lncRNA from 1 species